UGGCGGCAGGCUUAACACAUGCAAGUCGAACGCCCCGCAAGGGGAGUGGCAGACGUGAGUAACACGUGGGAACGUACCCUUUUCUACGGAAUAACGCAUGGAAACGUGUGCUAACCGUAUGUGCCCUUAGGGGGAAAGAUUUAUCGGAAAAGGAUCGGCCCGCGUUGGAUUCUAGUUGGUGGGGUAAAGGCCUACCAAGGCGACGAUCCAUAGCUGGUCUGAGAGGAUGCAGCCACAUUGGGACUGAGACACGGCCCAAACUCCUACGGGAGGCAGCAGUGGGGAAUUGGACAAUGGGCGCAAGCCUGAUCCAGCCAUGCCGCGUGAGUGAUGAAGGUCUUAGGAGUAAAGCUCUUUCACCGGUGAAGAUAAUGACGGUAACCGGAGAAGAAGCCCCGGCUAAUCGUGCCAGCAGCCGCGGUAAUACGAAGGGGGCUAGCGUUGUUCGGAUUUACUGGGCGAAGCGCACGUAGGCGGACAUUUAAGUCAGGGGUGAAAUCCCAGAGCUCAACUCUGGAAGCCUUUGAUACUGGGUGUCUGGAGUAUGGAAGAGGUAAGUGGAAUUCCGAGUGUAGAGGAAAUUCGUAGAUAUUCGGAGGAACACCAGUGGCGAAGGCGGCUUACUGGUCCAUUACACGCUGAGGUGCGAAAGCGUGGGGAGCAAACGAGGAUUAGAUACCCUGGUAGUCCUCGGUAAACGAUGAAUGUUAGCUGUCGGCAAGUAUACUUGUCGGUGGCGCAGCUAACGCAU
rnacentral:rRNA from 1 species